rnacentral:lncRNA from 1 species
GGAUCUUAAGGUAAGUGAAGAUUUGAACUCCGAAGCUCUCAACUCUCAAACAGCAAAUGGAAGCCCUCACUAGCCUAAAUCCUAAACCGCCUGAAACGAUGAGCAGCGCGGGCAUCGGAUCCCCCUCCACAAUAUCGCCGCCGUCGAGCACGUCCCGCUCAACCGCUUGGCCGACGGCAGGAUCGAGUCUGCCUCGGCUGUGCUCCUCCAAUCCGUCGCGUACCUCCCACCGAACUCCGACGAUCCGCGACAACUACCGCGUCGCGGAGAUGUCCGCCGUAAUCAAUAGCGUGACCAAAGCCGCCGACCGCGACGACAUGAUCUGCAACGACGCCAUUAGUCACCUCAAUUCCUCG